rnacentral:rRNA from 1 species
AACGAACGCUGGCGGCAUGCCUAACACAUGCAAGUCGAACGAGACCUUCGGGUCUAGUGGCGCACGGGUGCGUAACGCGUGGGAACCUGCCCUUAGGUUCGGAAUAACUCCCCGAAAGGGGUGCUAAUACCGGAUAAUGUCUUCGGACCAAAGAUUUAUCGCCUUUGGAUGGGCUCGCGUUGGAUUAGCUAGUUGGUAGGGUAAAAGCCUACCAAGGCGACGAUCCAUAGCUGGUUUGAGAGGAUGAUCAGCCACACUGGGACUGAGACACGGCCCAGACUACUACGGGAGGCAGCAGUGGGGAAUAUUGGACAAUGGGCGAAAGCCUGAUCCAGCAAUGCCGCGUGAGUGAUGAAGGCCUUAGGGUUGUAAAGCUCUUUUACCCGGGAUGAUAAUGACAGUACCGGGAGAAUAAGCUCCGGCUAACUCCGUG